rnacentral:rRNA from 1 species
CCUACGGGUGGCAGCAGUGGGGAAUAUUGCACACUGGGGGAAACCCUGAUGCAGUGACGCCGCGUGAGUGAAGCAGUAUUUCGGUACGUAAAGCUCUAUCAGCAGGGAAGAAAAUGACGGUACCUGACUAAGAAUCCCCGGCUAACUACGUGCCAGCAGCCGCGGGAAUACGUAGGGGGCAAGCGUUAUCCGGAUUUACUGGGUGUAAAGGGAGCGUAGACGGCAGAGCAAGGCUGGAGUGAAAAUCCCAUGGCUUAACCAUGGAACUGCUUUGGAACCUGUGCAGUUAGAGUGCAGGAGAGGUAGGCGGAAUUCCUAGUGUAGAGGUGAAAUGCGUAGAUAUUAGGAGGAACACCAGUGGCGAAGGCGGCUUACUGGACUGUAACUGACGUUGAGGCUCGAAAGCGUGGGGAGCAAACAGGAUUAGAUACCCGAGUAGUC